rnacentral:lncRNA from 1 species
CAUUAGAGAAAGCUAAAAGCAAACAAAAACAACGCAAGGCAUCAAGCAAGAAAGAAAAAAAGGUUAUUUAAUUUGCAUGGGAGUUUUCUACCUCUUCUGAACAGGUCCACCCAUCUCUAUAUUUUUCCUCUUUAAAUGUUAAAGCAUCUGAACAUUUGUUCUGUCAGUUGAGAAAAAAUGGACUGACUUAAACCCAUCUUAGAUCCCCGGGGGAUAUCACAGGAAAAUAGGACAGCAGUGCUGAGAGGAAAAACUCCAUCUACUGCAUCUUUUACAAUUAAAACUUACCAACAGUGACGCAGGGGAAAGAGGCUUCUUCCAUUAACAAAAAAGAAUGAUGAUGACCUUCAGGAGCUUUGGCUGAGUAAGAACUAAGAAAUCUGGGACGAAGGAGCUGCUCCAAACUAUAAGCUCCUCCCUGAAAAACAUGGUGAAUUGUGACAAGAUAUUAAGAAACUUUUUCUGUAACAUUUUACCCUUCCAAAAACAUAUGAAAGAAAGCACAGUGAGGGCAAGUCCCUGGAUUUAAGAGAAACGACACAACUUUGCAGUUUCUGGGAACAAUCUCAUGUAUGUUGGACUAUUAAUUUCAUAAAAUCAUAAAACCAUAGAAUCAUCAAGAUUGGAAAAGACCUCUGAGAUCAGUCCAACCAUCCACUCGUCACCAGUAUUUCCCACCAAACCACAUCCCUCAGUACAACACCUAAAUGUUUCUUGAACACCUCCAGGGAUGGUGACUCCACCACCUGUUAUGGUUGUCAGAAACUUGUGGAAUCCAUCAGCCUGCUGCAGAGGUCUGGGCUAUUGAGAGCAGUCUGACCUCCACGGAUGGAAUUUGUUGGUCUCUCGGCACCAUCUGAGCUGCAAGAUAACUUUGAUGACAUUUCUGGAGGAUGAAGAGCAGCAAUGAUAACUGAGACUAUACGUGUGAGUGCCAUUCAAAAGGGCUUAGGAAAUAUCAGUCACACCCUGAGGGUACAUCUAAUCUGGACUGCACUCCCUGCUCCUAGUCAAUACACAUUUCAUCAUGUCAUCCAAGCUGAUUGCCAAGAAUCCUUCCUACUGAAUCAUAUAUUUCUGAGCUGCCAUCACUCCAAACUGCAUGGCUGCCAUGUUCACAUCUACUGGUGUCAGCACUGCAAAAGGAGAUGAGAAAGAUCCUUAUCCCCAUUUGACAACCCUCUCCUGGACCAGAACAGAAGCACAUGGAUCCUAUCCCUCCUUCUUCCCUCCUUUAGCAAAGUCGGACAUAACUGGAGCAGAAGCUUCAACAGACAUAGCAGCAGACUCCUGUUCAAGUGCUCUGAAGAAAGGGUAAGGAAAGUGAGAGUUCAUGUGGUAAAAUAACAAAACAAAUAUCUGAAUGGCCACAGAGUGCAUGUUGUGAUUUGAGAGGUUUGUGGUUUUAAAUAAAGUAUAAAUGAGCAAUAAGAUUAGAAACUUCAUUUGUUAAAGUUUGCAUUUCCC